rnacentral:lncRNA from 1 species
ACUUACUCUGUUUUAGCGGGUUACCCAAUGGUCCUUCAUCUUUCUAUUUAGUUAUCCAUCCACCACUCAUUUAACUUCCAUUUCUUCAAAUAAACGGAAAACUACACGUGGAUAACAGAAGCAGACGUGGCAACUCUGUUAAAUUGAUAACCUGGGAUAAAACACACACACGACUUCUCCCCUAUUCUCAAUAUCAUAACCCCCAAUUCAAACCCUUUAAUUCCGGCCACAAUUUUCUCCAGGAUAGUGAUGCGGGCUGGUACAAAAUGGACGCCACCGGCCUGAGAAUCGCCGCCAUCUCUUCCCUUCACUGGUCCGGAUAAUAUCCUUGAUUAUGAUUUCCACCUCCAGGCUGCGGAUAAUUCUGCCUCUGACGAAAGUUUUGGGGAGAACCCUGACUCUAAAACCCACCUUGUCGAGGAUAAUUUUGGCUCAAAUUAGGGUUUUGGUUUUGUGGGUACCAAUUAUUUUGGUUGUUAUUAUUCCACUGGUUAACGUUACCACUUGCUGGUCGAGGAUGGGGAAAAUUAGGGGUCGGGUUAGGAACUCCAGGUGGAAAUCAUAAUCAGAUUUUUACCGUUAUAUGCUUGAGACAAGUAGAACUUCGUGGACUUGUGGAAAGUGCAAGGAAUCAGUAACUGUAGCUUUGAUUCAAUUGUACAGGCAAUCGAAGGUGAGUAGAAGCAGAUGGAAGAGAGCUCCCACGGUUAUAAGGAGCUUUCAAUUGUACAGUAGGAGAUAUGAAAAUGCUUAUAUGUAUUUUUAUCUUGAUCAAUGGAGUAGGGGUUGAAAAUGCGUAUAUGUAGUUGGUUGUUGUAAUUUGGUUCUUUGAACUUUGUAUUAUUGAAUGAAUGAAUCCUAUUAUAACUUGGUUUUUUUCCUUUUUGUGGCUGAGUUGAUGGUUAUUGUAACUUGAAAAUGCUUAUAUGUAUUUUUAUCUUGAUCAAUGGAGUAGGGGUUGAAAAUGCGUAUAUGUAGUUGGUUGUUGUAAUUUGGUUCUUUGAACUUUGUAUUAUUGAAUGAAUGAAUCCUAUUAUAACUUGGUUUGUUUCCUUUUUGUGGCUGAGUUGAUGGUUGUUGUAACUUGGUUCUUUGAACUUUGUAUUAUUGAAUGAAUGAAUCCUAUUAUAAUUUGGUUUGUUUCCUUUUUGUGGCUGAGUUGAUGGAUGGCAAUAUUUUGUGUAAAUUAGAAGUUAGUUCUAAGGCUAUUGAAAAUUGGGAUUGAUUGAGGUGCA